GAUGAACGCUGGCGGCGUGCCUAAUACAUGCAAGUCGAACGCACAGCGAAAGGUGCUUGCACCUUUCAAGUGAGUGGCGAACGGGUGAGUAACACGUGGAUAACCUACCUCAAGGUUGGGGAUAACAUUUGGAAACAGAUGCUAAUACCGAAUAAAACUUAGUAUCGCAUGAUACCAGGUUAAAAGGCGCUACGGCGUCACCUAGAGAUGGAUCCGCGGUGCAUUAGUUAGUUGGUGGGGUAAAGGCUUACCAAGACAAUGAUGCAUAGCCGAGUUGAGAGACUGAUCGGCCACAUUGGGACUGAGACAGGCCCAAACUCCUACGGGAGGCUGCAGUAGGGAAUCGUUCCACAAUGGGCGAAAGCCUGAUGGAGCAACGCCGCGUGUGUGAUGAAGGCUUCGGUCGUAAGCACUG
rnacentral:rRNA from 1 species